rnacentral:rRNA from 1 species
ACGCUGGCGGCGUGCCUAAUACAUGCAAGUAGAACGCUGAAGGAGGAGCUUGCUUCUCCGGAUGAGUUGCGAACGGGUGAGUAACGCGUAGGUAACCUGCCUGGUAGCGGGGGAUAACUAUUGGAAACGAUAGCUAAUACCGCAUAAUAGUAGAUGUUGCAUGACAUUUACUUAAAAGGUGCAAUUGCAUCACUACCAGAUGGACCUGCGUUGUAUUAGCUAGUUGGUGGGGUAACGGCUCACCAAGGCGACGAUACAUAGCCGACCUGAGAGGGUGAUCGGCCACACUGGGACUGAGACACGGCCCAGACCCCUACGGGAGGCAGCAGUAGGGAAUCUUCGGCAAUGGACGGAAGUCUGACCGAGCAACGCCGCGUGAGUGAAGAAGGUUUUCGGAUCGUAAAGCUCUGUUGUAAGAGAAGAACGAGUGUGAGAGUGGAAAGUUCACACUGUGACGGUAUCUUACCAGAAAGGGACGGCUAACUACGUGCCAGCAGCCGCGGUAAUACGUAGGUCCCGAGCGUUGUCCGGAUUUAUUGGGCGUAAAGCGAGCGCAGGCGGUUAGAUAAGUCUGAAGUUAAAGGCUGUGGCUUAACCAUAGUACGCUUUGGAAACUGUUUAACUUGAGUGCAAGAGGGGAGAGUGGAAUUCCAUGUGUAGCGGUGAAAUGCGUAGAUAUAUGGAGGAACACCGGUGGCGAAAGCGGCUCUCUGGCUUGUAACUGACGCUGAGGCUCGAAAGCGUGGGGAGCAAACAGGAUUAGAUACCCUGGUAGUCCACGCCGUAAACGAUGAGUGCUAGGUGUUAGACCCUUUCCGGGGUUUAGUGCCGCAGCUAACGCAUUAAGCACUCCGCCUGGGGAGUACGACCGCAAGGUUGAAACUCAAAGGAAUUGACGGGGGCCCGCACAAGCGG